UUCAGGGAUGGUGUCCUGGAGGAGCC
rnacentral:piRNA from 1 species